rnacentral:rRNA from 1 species
UACGUAGGGUGCGAGCGUUAAUCGGAAUUACUGGGCGUAAAGCGUGCGCAGGCGGUUCGUUGUGUCGGUGGUGAAAGCCCCGGGCUUAACCUGGGAAUGGCCAUGGAAACUGGCGAACUGGAGUGUGGCAGAGGGGGGUGGAAUUCCGCGUGUAGCAGUGAAAUGCGUAGAGAUGCGGAGGAACACCGAUGGCGAAGGCAGCCCCCUGGGAUAACACUGACGCUCAUGCACGAAAGCGUGGGGAGCAAACAGG